CAUUCAGAGGCUGCUGAUGACAGACAUGUCGCUCCUGCUCUUAGUCAUUCUCGUGAUUGCUGAUAAUGUGAAUACUGCGGUAAUUAAGUUUGAGGCUCACCCAGAGACUUUAGAAGAGCUGAUGUCCGAUCAAUCAUAUUUGGUGGUGGAGGGAGACAUCAUCUUGCUG